UACAGAGGUCUCAAGCGUUGUUCGGAUUCAUUGGGCGUAAAGGGUGCGUAGGCGGCGCGGUAAGUCGGGUGUGAAAUCUUGGAGCUUAACUCCGAAACUGCAUUCGAUACUGCCGUGCUUGAGGACUGGAGAGGAGACUGGAAUUUACGGUGUAGCGGUGAAAUUCGUAGAUAUCGGGAGGAACACCAGUGGCGAAGGCGGCGAUCUGGGAAGAUACUGACGCUGAGGUGCGAAAGCGUGGGGAGCAAACAGG
rnacentral:rRNA from 1 species